UCGAGCGAGCUUGCCUAGAUGAGUUUGGUGCUUGCACCAGAUGAAACUAGAUACAAGCGAGCGGCGGACGGGUGAGUAACACGUGGGUAACCUGCCCAAGAGACUGGGAUAACACCUGGAAACAGAUGCUAAUACCGGAUAACAACACUAGACGCAUGUCUAGAGUUUAAAAGAUGGUUCUGCUAUCACUCUUGGAUGGACCUGCGGUGCAUUAGCUAGUUGGUAAGGUAACGGCUUACCAAGGCAAUGAUGCAUAGCCGAGUUGAGAGACUGAUCGGCCACAUUGGGACUGAGACACGGCCCAAACUCCUACGGGAGGCAGCAGUAGGGAAUCUUCCACAAUGGACGCAAGUCUGAUGGAGCAACGCCGCGUGAGUGAAGAAGGGUUUCGGCUCGUAAAGCUCUGUUGGUAGUGAAGAAAGAUAGAGGUAGUAACUGGCCUUUAUUUGACGGUAAUUACUUAGAAAGUCACGGCUAACUACGUGCCAGCAGCCGCGGUAAUACGUAGGUGGCAAGCGUUGUCCGGAUUUAUUGGGCGUAAAGCGAGUGCAGGCGGUUCAAUAAGUCUGAUGUGAAAGCCUUCGGCUCAACCGGAGAAUUGCAUCAGAAACUGUUGAACUUGAGUGCAGAAGAGGAGAGUGGAACUCCAUGUGUAGCGGUGGAAUGCGUAGAUAUAUGGAAGAACACCAGUGGCGAAGGCGGCUCUCUGGUCUGCAACUGA
rnacentral:rRNA from 1 species